UGGGGAAUAUUGGACAAUGGGCGCAAGCCUGAUCCAGCCAUGCCGCGUGAGUGAUGAAGGCCUUAGGGUUGUAAAGCUCUUUUGCCGGGGACGAUAAUGACGGUACCCGGAGAAUAAGUCCCGGCUAACUUCGUGCCAGCAGCCGCGGUAAUACGAAGGGGACUAGCGUUGUUCGGAAUCACUGGGCGUAAAGCGCACGUAGGCGGAUCAUUUAGUCAGGGGUGAAAUCCCGGGGCUCAACCUCGGAACUGCCUUUGAUACUGAUGGUCUCGAGUUCGAUAGAGGUGGGUAGAAUUCCUAGUGUAGAGGUGAAAUUCGUAGAUAUUAGGAAGAAUACCGGUGGCGAAGGCGGCCCACUGGAUCGAUACUGACGCUGAGGUGCGAAAGCGUGGGGAGCAAACA
rnacentral:rRNA from 1 species